AUUGAACGCUGGCGGCGUGCCUAACACAUGCAAGUCGAGCGGUAACAGGUGUAGCAAUACAUGCUGACGAGCGGCGAACGGGUGAGUAAUGCUUCGGAAUCUGCCCAUGUAGUGGGGAAUAACCAGCCGAAAGGUUGGCUAAUACCGCAUACGACCUACGGGUGAAAGCAGGGGAUCGCAAGACCUUGCGCUAUUGGAUGAGCCGAAGUCGGAUUAGUCNGUUGGUAGGGUAACGGCCUACCAAGGCGACGAUCCGUAGCUGGUCUGAGAGGACGACCAGCCACACUGGGACUGAGACACGGCCCAGACUCC
rnacentral:rRNA from 1 species